AGCGAACGCUGGCGGCAGGCCUAACACAUGCGAGUCGAACGAACCUUUCGGGGUUAGUGGCGGACGGGUGAGUAACACGUGGGAACGUGCCUUUAGGUUCGGAAUAACUCAGGGAAACUUGUGCUAAUACCGAAUGUGCCCUUCGGGGGAAAGAUUAAUCGCCUUUAGAGCGGCCCGCGUCUGAUUAGCUAGUUGGUUGAGGUAAUGGCUCACCAAGGCGACGAUCAGUAGCUGGUCUGAGAGGAUGAUCAGCCACAUUGGGACUGAGACACGGCCCAAACUCCUACGGGAGGCAGCAGUGGGGAAUCUUGCGCAAUGGGCGAAAGCCUGACGCAGCCAUGCCGCGUGAAUGAUGAAGGUCUUAGGAUUGUAAAAUUCUUUCACCGGGGACGAUAAUGACGGUACCCGGAGAAGAAGCCCCGGCUAACUUCGU
rnacentral:rRNA from 1 species